ensembl:lncRNA
GAUGUGUGAACAGGAUUAAACUCCUCCACACAGCUCUUAGACAGCAUUCCUUACACGUUUAAGUGCCCUCAGGAGAAAUCUGCAGUCUCCAGAAGAAAGAUGAAUAAUUCUGAGUCUGGUUUCAGGCUCCAGGACGCACCGCCUGCAGGAUAGUUAAUGAACACUAUUAUAAGAUUUUUUAGGUUGAACAAAAAUAUUCUGCUCUGAGUGGAGGAAGUGCAGGUGGAGGUGAGGAGAAGGAGGGAGUGCAGGUGGACGUGAGGAGAAGGAGGGAGUGCAGGUGGAGGUGAGGAGAAGGAGGGAGUGCAGGUGGAGGUGAGGAGAAGGAGGGAGUGCAGGUGGAAGUGAGGAGAAGGAGGGAGUGCAGGUGGAGGUGAGGAGAAGGAGGGAGUGCAGGUGGAGGUGAGGAGAA